rnacentral:rRNA from 1 species
UUCGUAGGCGGUCUUGAAAGUCAGAGGUGAAAUCUAGCGGCUCAACCGCUAAAUUGCCUUUGAAACUACUUGACUUGAGGACGGGAGAGGAAAGCGGAAUUCUUGGUGUAGCGGUGAAAUGCGUGGAUAUCAAGAAGAACACCGGUGGUGAAAACGGCUUUCUAGCCUGUAACUGACGCUGAUGAACGAAAGCUAGGGUAGCAAACG